rnacentral:tRNA from 1 species
GGGGCUGUAGCUCAGUGGAAGAGCGCUUGCCUUGCAUGCAUGAGGCCCUGGGUUCGAUCCUCAGCACCA